UUUUGCCGGGGAGCAAAGUGCCGCACGUGUGCGGUUUGGAGAGUACCCGGAGAAAAAGCAUCGGCUAACUCCGUGCCAGCAGCCGCGGUAAUACGGAGGAUGCGAGCGUUAUCCGGAUUUAUUGGGUUUAAAGGGUGCGUAGGCGGACGCUUAAGUCAGCGGUAAAAUUGCGGGGCUCAACCUCGUCGAGCCGUUGAAACUGGGUGCCUUGAGUGGGCGAGAAGUACGCGGAAUGCGUGGUGUAGCGGUGAAAUGCAUAGAUAUCACGCAGAACUCCGAUUGCGAAGGCAGCGUACCGGCGCCCAACUGACGCUGAAGCACGAAGGCGUGGGUAUCGAACAGGAUUAGAUACCCUGGUAGUCCACGCAGUAAACGAUGAAUGCUAGUUGUCCGGGGCGAUUGAGUUCUGG
rnacentral:rRNA from 1 species